UGAGUUCGCGGGAGAGUAGGUUAUUGCCAGGGUUUUUAUUUUAUACUUUAAACCUUGAAUUUAUUUUUUAAAUGUUUAUAUUAUUUGAAUAAAACAUUCAAAUAAUAUAAAAAAUAAUAUAUAUAUUGACAUGGAUUAAACAAAGAUAUAUAUUAUUCUAUGUUGUAUAAACAAAUUGGCAAAAUAGAGAUGGAAGAUAAAAAUAUGGUCAAAGUAAUAAGAGUCUAUGGUGGAUGCCUAGGAGCUUUAAGGCGAAGAAGGUCGUGGUAAGCUGCGAAAAGCUUGGGGGAUAAGCAAACAUUUAUUGAUCCCAAGAUUACCGAAUGGAGUAAUCC
rnacentral:misc_RNA from 1 species